GAUCUCAAAUCAGGUAGGACUACCCGCUGAACUUAAGCAUAUCAAUAAGCGGAGGAAAAGAAACUAACAAGGAUUCCCCUAGUAACGGCGAGUGAAGCGGGAAGAGCUCAAAUUUAAAAUCUGGCGGUGUACUCCGUCCGAGUUGUAGUCUAGAGAAGCAUCAUCCGUGCCGGACCAUGUACAAGUCUCUUGGAACAGAGCGUCAUAGAGGGUGAGAAUCCGUCCUUGACAUGGACUCCCGGUGCUUUGUGUUGAGCUCUCAACGAGUCGAGUUGUUUGGGAAUGCAGCUCAAAAUGGGUGGUAAAUUCCAUCUAAAGCUAAAUAUUGGCGAGAGACCGAUAGCGAACAAGUACCGUGAGGGAAAGAUGAAAAGCACUUUGGAGAGAGAGUUAAACAGUACGUGAAAUUGUUGAAAUGGAAACGAUUGAAGUCAG
rnacentral:rRNA from 1 species